rnacentral:rRNA from 1 species
UACGAGGGGUGCAAGCGUUGCUCGGAAUUAUUGGGCGUAAAGGGUAGGUAGGUGGUCUCGUUUGUCUGGGGUGAAAGCCUUGGGCUUAACUCAAGAAGUGCCCCAGAAACGGCGAGACUAGAGUAUUGGAGAGGGUCGUGGAAUUCCCGGUGUAGCGGUGAAAUGCGUAGAGAUCGGGAGGAACACCAGUAGCGAAGGCGGCUCGCUGGGCCAUUCCUGACGCUGAGACGCGAAAGCUAGGGGAGCGAACAGG